GAUGAACGCUGGCGGCGUGCCUAAUACAUGCAAGUCGAGCGAACAGACGAGGGGCUUGCUCCUCUGAUGUUAGCGGCGGACGGGUGAGUAACACGUGGAUAACCUACCUAUAAGACUGGGAUAACUUCGGGAAACCGGAGCUAAUACCGGAUAACAUGUUGAACCGCAUGGUUCAACAGUGAAAGACGGUCUUGCUGUCACUUAUAGAUGGAUCCGCGCCGCAUUAGCUAGUUGGUAAGGUAACGGCUUACCAAGGCAACAAUGCGUAGCCGACCUGAGAGGGUGAUCGGCCACACUGGAACUGAGACACGGUCCAGACUCCUACGGGAGGCAGCAGUAGGGAAUCUUCCGCAAUGGGCGAAAGCCUGACGGAGCAACGCCGCGUGAGUGAAGAAGGUCUUCGGAUCGUAAAACUCUGUUAUUAGGGAAGAACAAAUGUGUAAGUAACUAUGCACGUCUUGACGGUACCUAAUCAGAAAGCCACGGCUAACUACGUG
rnacentral:rRNA from 1 species